rnacentral:ncRNA from 1 species
UUGAGCGAGAUGGGGAGCGUGGCUGAGAUUAUACGGCCCCAACUUGAUCUGGAUAAUACCAGCGAAAGGAUCAUGCUCCCCCCACCC